ensembl:snoRNA
UGUGAUGAUGAUUCAUAAGACUAGAGUCUCUGAUAAUAUGAUGAGGCUAUUUCAAAUUACACUGAACA